rnacentral:rRNA from 1 species
UUGAAAGGGAAACGAUUGAAGUCAGUCGUACCUGCGGACAAUCAGCCUUUCGGGUGCGAUUAUGUGGAGCGUGGGGAGCUAAACACCUUCAUGCCUGCGUAUUUGUAUUCUGGGGUGUACUUGGACGUGCGGUAGGUUAACAUCAAUUUCGGACGUCAUAAAAUGGCUGGAGGAAUGUAGCUUCGGUCUCGUACUGAAGUGUUAUAGCCUUUGGUAGAUGUGAUGACCGGGAUUGAGGAUUGCAACGAAUACCUUUUGGGCUAUCCGUCUGAUCUCUGAAAGUUGCUCUGGUGCCGAAAGCUUGCUUACGGUUAUCAAAGUUGACGUUCAAAAGGUUAGAACGGGUUAAAUUCGUUAAGGAUGUUGACGUA